UAGGGAAUCUUCCACAAUGGGCGCAAGCCUGAUGGAGCAACGCCGCGUGAGUGAGGAAGGCUUUCGGGUCGUAAAGCUCUGUUGCCAGGGAAGAAUAAGCGUGAGAGUAACUGCUCGCGUGAUGACGGUACCUGAGAAGAAAGCCCCGGCUAACUACGUGCCAGCAGCCGCGGUAAUACGUAGGGGGCAAGCGUUGUCCGGAAUUAUUGGGCGUAAAGCGCGCGCAGGCGGUUCUUUAAGUCUGGUGUCUAAGUGCGGGGCUCAACCCCGUGAUGCACUGGAAACUGGGGAACUUGAGUGCAGAAGAGGAGAGCGGAAUUCCACGUGUAGCGGUGAAAUGCGUAGAGAUGUGGAGGAACACCAGUGGCGAAGGCGGCUCUCUGGACUGUAACUGACGCUGAGGCGCGAAAGCGUGGGGAGCAAACA
rnacentral:rRNA from 1 species